GAUGGGUAAGUUGUAGACUGUAAAGAGAAUCUCAACAUGGGUAAAUAGUAUGGAAGAAUAAAAAUGCAGCAGGAAGGAUUUUAGUAGAGGAGAAACAUUCACUGAACAUUCCUUCAGAGCAAACACUGAAUUUGAUACUCAUGGCAUAUACGUGAGUCCUAGUUCUUCAUGUAUUUUAAAUGCUCAUAAUUUUACUUGGAGACGUAUUGGUGUUAGCUUAAUGCUGGUCUUUAUGUGGGGUAUGAUAAUGCUGUAAUUGGAAUAUUAUCUCUAAUGUCUUAAAAUUAAAUGUCUACUUUUUCAUGCUACAGACAAAUUUUUCUUUAUUUCCUUAUAUGCAUGCAAUCCAUUGUAAAGGAAAAACUGGUAAUUAUUUAGUUUUUUCACUGAAUGUAAAGUAGCAAAAUCUUGGGGGCUAAAAUUACAUGGUGUUUCCUCAUUUUUAAAAAGUGGCAUUGUCACUAUUUAAUCAAAAAUUAUGACCUGGUAACCAGGGACUCUCAAUUUUCAGUGACAUUGACUACACAAUUGCUUUGUGUUUCUAAUUUUGUAUUUUCUGUUUGUUUUCUCAUGCCAAUACACACCCCAGUCAACAGAGGAACUCCAUUCUUUGGAACUUCAGAGUGACAAGUGAACCCUGGCUGAAGGGGCAAACACAGAUUCAACUGUUGUUGGACAGAUUGCCAGAGGAAAAACCAAGUGUUCUGCUGGUUAGAAUACACAGAAGUGAGAAUGAGCCAAAGAACCAGAAGCCAACCAGAAAAACGAGAGCUGUGAGUUCUGCGCCAACACCUCCAGAAGGGCCUUGGUACUACUUGAAGGACUUCUCCAAGGACAGAAGAUUCUUUCUAUCUCAUAAAAAAGCUGGAUGCCCCCGAAGGACGAAAGAGGAGAGACAGUGAAGUCUGAAGCAACAGUAUUUUGGUUCUGAAGGAAUCCAUUCUAAAGGGUGAUAGUAAAGAAAAACAAAGCAUAUUAAAAUGACAGUUGAUAUGUGAAAGGUAAGUACCUUCUUGUGGUGGGAUAAAUGAUGCCCGGGUAGAGCUAGAAGACCUGUGGAAAGCAAAGCAUCAAAAGAUGGUGAGGUAGGACUUAGUUGCUGGUAUAGUCUUCCAUACCUUUUUUGAAUGCAUAUCCUACUACAUAAGUUUUCAAGCACAGUUAUGAAAGGAAAAAAAUGUGAAUAUUUAACUUUAAUUGAAGGGAUUUUUAAUAAGCCUUGAAAAUGGUGCUUAAUUCCACCCUAUACUUUACUGUAUCCUCCUCUAAGAGCACAGAUUCUCAGUCACAGCAGUGUUUUAAAGACUCAAUGUAUUAUGUAAUGGAUUAUAAGGCUAUAAAUAAUGUCAUAAAUAAAACCAAUGUAAUUAUAUCACAACAGAGGCUAAGAAUCCAUCCGUAAACUACCAAACGAUCCAGCUGAAGG
rnacentral:lncRNA from 1 species